rnacentral:rRNA from 1 species
AGGGACAGCAUGAACUAGCCAUACUUUGAUGGCGACCGGCAAACGGGUGCGGAACACGUACACAACCUUCCUUUUAGUGGGGAAUAGCCCAGAGAAAUUUGGAUUAAUACCCCGUAACAUAACGAUGUGGCAUCACAUUGUUAUUAUAGCUUCGGCGCUAGAUGAUGGGUGUGCGUAUGAUUAGAUAGUUGGCGAGGUAACGGCUCACCAAGUCUACGAUCAUUAGCUGAUGUGAGAGCAUGAUCAGCCACACGGGCACUGAGACACGGGCCCGACUCCUACGGGAGGCAGCAGUAAGGAAUAUUGGUCAAUGGACGCAAGUCUGAACCAGCUAUGCCGCGUGAAGGAUUAAGGUCCUCUGGAUUGUAAACUUCUUUUAUCUGGGACGAAAAAAGGUCUUUCUAGAUCACUUGACGGUACCAGAUGAAUAAGCACCGGCUAACUCCGUGCCAGCAGCCGCGGUAAUACGGAGGGUGCAAGCGUUAUCCGGAUUCACUGGGUUUAAAGGGUGCGUAGGCGGGCAGGUAAGUCGGUGGUGAAAUCCUGGAGCUCAACUCCAGAACUGCCAUUGAUACUAUCUGUCUUGAAUAUUGUGGAGGUAAGCGGAAUAUGUCAUGUAGCGGUGAAAUGCUUAGAUAUGACAUAGAACACCCAUUGCGAAGGCAGCUUACUACGCAUAUAUUGACGCUGAGGCACGAAAGCGUGGGGGAUCAAACAGGAUUAGAUACCCUGGUAGUCCACGCCCUAAACGAUGGAUACUCGACAUACGCGAUACACUGUGUGUGUCUGAGCGAAAGCAUUAAGUAUCCCACCUGGGAAGUACGUUCGCAAGAACGAAACUCAAUGAAUUGGCGGGGUCCGCACA